ensembl:lncRNA
GGUCCUUUUGCUAUUACAUUUUGCAUUCCUCUCAUCAGUAACAAGCCAGAAGUUUAUCUUCGCACUAUUGUAGCUGAAGCUCUCAACAGGUCUCUACGUGAUCCCAUGCUGUUAUACUGGCUGAUACCUUCUCAUUGUUAUUCAUGGACUAUAACAUGGCUGAGCAUUUUCUUUUUCUUUUUUUGCUCGUCUCCCCUUCCCUCAUAGCUCAUAGCUCCAUUUAUGAAUUGCUGCAUAACCUCUUUUAAAAGUGCUGUCUAAUUGAUCUACUUCUCCGCUAACGGGUGUUCUCUGUUAUUACAUAUGAUCUUGAAGGCAAAGUUGGUAAAAAGCAUUAAUAAUCCGUGCCUGUUGUGCAGUGGCGCAGCAUGGCUGGACACGCAGGGACGGAAAUCACACGGUCCAUAGGGGGCGCAUGAAGCCAUUAUUAAUAUUAAAGAUGAUUGUUCUGCACACAGUCGUUCACCUAAUGUAAAUGAGAGGCUGUUAGUGGGUGUCCCAUUACUGCUUUAUCAUGCAGUUUCUCCUCCACACAUUCCACAUGGACUGAUAUGAUAUACGUGAUUCAUUCUUUUUACUUAGUAUCCAUUCAGCUCCACUUUAUUUGAAUAUGGUGUCCAGUUUUGUGAGGUCCAGGAUGGCACACAUAUCUGGAGUUUCAUGAAGCAUCUCAUCAGGUAGCACUUAUUUGCCACCCCCGUGAAGGUUGUUUGAUAUUUUGCUCGGUCUUUUUCUCCCCGGUCUUUUUUUCUGUCUUUCUCACCUCCUAAUUCAUAGUAUGAUGACAAUAACAUGCACGGCAGCCUCAGUGAGACCUUUCCAAAUGCUGCUGGCCACCCACUCCCUUGCCAAGGAGCGACAGCUAAGGCCAGCCAGUCACUGGAACCACAGGCUGAUGGACGGUUAAGCAGUUGGAGGGGUGCCAGCAGGGCUCAGACAGGUAGGAGCUACGCCAAGGCUGUUCCUCGACCAUCCAUCCUGCAGGAUGACACACCAGCGCCUGCUAGCUUCUAUUAUGGCUCCUUCUCUUCCUCUCCUGAAUAGAGCAAAUUUGAUUUGGCCUCUGCAAAAGCACUUUUCACCACAUAAAAGCUCAUUACUGUGAUGGAAAAGUGGCAUUCAAGGUAAAGCUGGUUGGGUGAAGCGAGGACAACGUGAACAUGGUGAAAACACAGGGCUCACACUUGUUCAGUUAGUAUGAGUGUAUUCUGUUUCUCUCUUCUUGUUCAUGAACUUGUGCCUAGCCAUUUACAGAUUUAUAGUGCAAUAACAGGUUCUUGUACUGCUUUUGUACACUGUUAAGGACUUAAAGGAACACUUCAGUAUUUUCAACUUAAAUAGCUGGUGUGUGGCUGCCGUCACACCAUCCAGGUUGAUGCUACACACUAGUGGUGGUUGAGGUGACACCCCUCCCCCAUACUGUGUAAAGCACUUUGAGAGUCUAGAAAAGCACUAUAUAAAUGUAACUAAAAAAAUGUCUUUAUUCACUGCAUGUGUAUUCAACUCAAAAUAUAUGGAUUAAUACAAAUUUCAACAUAUUUCUCUGUACUGACGAAUGAAAAGAAAACCUGUUUACCUGAAACUCACUUAUAAUGGAAGUCUAAGGGCAGUUGUUCUGGUAGUGAAUAACCCUUUACGUGAAAUACUUUCAUGAAUUCAUCGGUCAAAGCUAUUCAUAAAUUCAGCUCCAAAUGUGUAUAAAUGUGAUUUUAUUUUUUCGGUGAGAAGUACGUCAGAUGCCUCUUAGUUCUGUUCUCAGUACAGGGAGCUGGCUUAAAAUUAUUUUUGCAUAGUUAUCACAUCUACUAUGUAGAGAUUAUCAUUAAAAACCCUGCAGUAUUUCUUUAAUAUAUUUGCUCCAUGUCCAGUACAGUCAGGAACUGGGAGUUGGCAGCAGUCGAUGCAAGUGCAGAUUUAUUAGUGAACGGUGCAAACAAACAACAAAAACACUGAAAACAAGAACCAAAAACUAGAGUUACGAGGCAAAACGUCUGGGUUACGCAUGCAACCCUGUUCUCUGAGAUGGGAACGAGACAUUGCAUGAGCUUCACGCUGUGGGAAGUGCCCUCACGCAUGACCGGUAUCUGAAGUCUGUGUAAAAUCAUAACUAUAAAAUGGUGCCUGUGAACCACGUCAUCAGCCUCUAUUAUCUGAAGCAAAGACGCGAUUCACAGGCAUGCCCCAGUAUGAAAAAGCUAUGCAAUGGCUUAUUCCCUUCUCAGGGAACAGGGUUACAUUUACCCCAGACAUUCCCUUUCAUACUGAGGGUAUGGCUGUCAUGGUGAACUGGAAACUCCUAGAGAGGGCCGUCCAGCAGAGAUAUUAUCUCCAAUAACCAAAUUUGAGCUAGCCAAUCCAGUGCUAUCAGCAGCAGACAUAGCACGGUCUUGGCGAACUCUCACUAGAGCCUGUGGAAGGAGAGUGAUCGGGGGAAAGGCGUACAGAUGUGACCUCAGCCACAUGUGUUCCAUGGUGUCCAGCCCUGUCCUUUUUAUUUAUUUAUUUUUUGGUGCAGGAGGAGUGAGGGCGAAAAACAGCGGGCAGCGUGUUGUCUCCUCAGAAGUGAACACGUCCUCUUCCGCUCGGCCGCACCUCCGCCAUAUGGACUCACCCACUUGUGGAUGGAGCCUCCAGUCCCCAGGCCUCAGCCUCUGCAUCAACAGGAUGUCUGCCCCAACAUUCCAGUAGCCCGGAAUAUACAUUGCACUCACUGACCAAACUUCCCCUCUACCAGAGAAGAAUUAGUUGAGUCUGCCUGAAAAGGGGGCGUGAACGUAAUGCUCCCUGGUGGUUGAUAUAUGAGACCACCGCUGUGUUGUCUAACACAUGGUGACCUCUCAACUGACGAGAAGAAAUUCAGUGCUAGGAGUACAGCCCACACUUCGAGGCGAUUUAUAUGCCACACUAGAUGAGGGCUGCACCACAGACCAUGAGGGAGGUGUCUGACAUUACCGUCUUGUGAUAAGAGAUGCCGCUAGAGUGUGACCUGAGGGACACUUCCUAGUUCUCAGAACAUGUAAAAAUCGCCGCCUGACACUGAUUACUCCCAGGGGUUUCGUCCUCUGAUGAAACCCCCGACCUUCAGCCACAAAUGAACGGUUUCAUGUGCGUUGGGCCCAAUGGUAUGACAUUGGCUGCUGCUGACAUAAGCUCCAACAGUCUCCGUAGAGACUGGAGGGGAUGCCAAGUCUAUCUUGCUCAAUGUUGAUAGGAUUUGCCCUGCGUGUGUUGGGGAUAGACAUGCCCUCAUUGUAUUCGAAUCCCAGCUCUUGUCUGGAGAACCAACUGUUCCUGAGGUUCAACCUGAGCCCCAAGCUCUUCAUGUGGAUGAGAACAACAUCUUGAUGUUGAACUUUUUGGACCGCACUAGAAUUAACCAGUCGUCCAGGUAGUUUAGCACACGGAUAAUCUGGAGUCGCAAAGGAACCAACGCGAAAUCCAUACAUUUCCUGAAGGUGCGAGGGGAUAAAGCUAGCGAAUGGAAGAACCAAUAUUGAUAUGCGUUGCCUCCAAACGAGAACCUCAGGAAUUUCCUGUGACUGGGCAAUGGAAUAUGCACCUUUUUUUAGAUCUAUCCUCACAAACCAAUCCUCAAACUGAGUCUGUGGAACGAUAAGGUUGAGCGUCAACAUCCUGGACCUGUAUGUCCAAAGAUUAUGGAUCAGAUGGCACAGAUCUAAAAUUCUAUAUCCAUAUAUCCCGUCUUUUCUGUGGACUAGGAAAUAACGGCUGUAAAACCCCCCUGCCUCAGAGAAAGAGGUACAUGUUAUAUGGCACCUUUGUCCAAGAGAGAUCCACUUCUUGGGCUAACAUCGGGCUCUGCAUUGUGCUGUCUAUUGUGGGAGGUGUCGAGCUAUGAACUGGGCCCGGAACCCUUUUCUAUGGAAGACAGAACCCAUGGAGACACAUUUGGCUGUAGUUUCCAUGCUGCCAGAUGGUCUCUAGUGACGUUAACUUUCCACAUUUUGUUGGAGGGAAAGCAUCAGAUUUUCCUUGCCCUGUGACAGCUCGCUGACCAGAGAAAACUGAAAACUUGGGACGACAUUGACUAGGGGAGCACUACAGUAAUACUGGGGGCUAACUGUCCUAACAACCUCUCGUCCCCUGAUACCUCCCUCCGCAGCCCUUCAGGACUGCUUCUUUUUGUCUUUUUGGCACUGAUUAUCAUUUAAAAUCAGGCCUACUAGCAGGCUGCAACUGUGGCUGCCCGGUCCCCCUGGCUUUCUGCAGGUGGAGGCAGGCUGCCACACUCACCUUCUGUGCCCCCUAGCAAUUCAGCAGUUCUGCCUGGUAGGCCUGCAACACUGCCAUUUUUGCUGAUACCCACAAGCAAGUCUUGCUGCCAUGUAGGCUUCACCAACCAACGAAUAGGUGGUCUUACACGGCCUGGAUGGCAAAGCUGGCCUCCUGAUUUUGCUGGCAUCGAUGGAGAGAGGUGGCUCGCAAGUGCCUCCUGUACCUUCGGCAUAGCAAAAUAGCUGUAAUGUUUAUCCCCCAUGAUGGCCGAAUAAUCCAACGUCGCAGGGUCAUAAACAGGGAGCUUCCCACAGCGUGAAGUUCAAGCAACGUUGAGUUCCCUUUGAAAGGGAACAUAAAGACUAUGAUAGAGACUAAGGUACACACCAACACACAAAAGCUUGACAACCAGAUGCUGAAACAUAGUCCCUGCGUCCCAAUUGGCAUACAUAAAAGUAUGUACUCUAUUUGUUAAGAAAUUUUCCAAAUUUCAUUCACACCUCUUUAAAAUGCUUCCUUGAAUUUGGUGAAGCAAACCUUCACAAAACUUUUCCUCCCUCGUGCAAGGGAUUAUGGGUAAUAGCUGAAAAAAUGUCCACGGAUCCACACUUCAAAAAUCUACCAUAAAUUGUAGACCAUCCAGGUACUAAUUUCACUAUAUUACCAUUUGGGACACACUAAUUCUGUACACGCUAGUACUGAUAGUAUACCAGUUGGGACGCAGGGAAUGACUUAUAUAACGGUUAUCAGGCUGAGAUGAGACACACGUGUGAGUGAUUGAAAACAUGUGACAUUCCGGUGCUGAUGGAAAGUGUAGUUCAACGCCCUUUGGGUGCCAUCAUGACACUUCACUUUCAGUUAGAGUCCACUCUUGUUAAAUGCUGCACGUUUAAAUUGUAUUACAACUGCCUUCUCUUUCUCUCAUCAGAAUUUUUAUAUUUAUUAUUAAGCUUUAUAUGUGCUUAAAACAACCCUUAAAGGUAAAAUCAACCUUGAACAUUUUGCAUUUUUCUCUUAUUAAUAAUUAACAUGUGAGCUUCAGUGACAUCAAAGAUUGAUUUUGCAAUGAAAUUCUGAGUUGUUUUUUAUUUCUUCAUUAACAUGUUGGUCUGUUUCCUUUUGGUUAACAGUUUCCUUCCCACAAUGCUGUUCAUUUCCAGUACCUGCUGAUAAUGGUGCAGUAGGAUUUAGGCCUUGCUUCAGCUCUAUGUCAGGACUGAUGAAGCAGCACUUCAGUCUUUUAGUCUGUUAGUCUGUUCAGCUCUCUCACCUUCUCACCUUGUACACUCUGCUCAAACAGCUCCAGUUUCAAAGCUUCGAUAUUCAUGCUAAUACCGUUGUCAAUGCCGCCAUGCUUGUCAUCUCAUAGAUCACUAACUAGCCAAAAUGAAUCUCUGACAUAACUUAGCGUAAUUGUUUCGUACAACUGCAUUGCCUUCUGGAACUUUGAGUCCACUUUUUUAUCUUGCUCUUUUGUUUUUAGGUUCAAACUUGAUCGUUUUUCUUUAUGUUUGAGAUUGCUGAAUUUUUUUCUGUGACAUCAGCACUUCACACAACCACUAACUUUCAUGCUCAUGAGAACAACAAUAAUACAGCAUCCACCAAAAAAAAAUCAUCAGAAUUGCUAGGCACAUUACAAAUAUUUUAAUAUAAACAUAUUUAAUGUAGUUUAGGGUGGACAUUUCCUUUAAGCUUUCUGCUAUAGUGAAAUGGUACACCUGUAUAAACAACUAUAGACACCAUAUCACAACUUUGGUAUGUAUUUUGUCUGAAUAGACCUUUGGUUUUCACCAGCAGGAUAGCAAAGACGUGCUUGCUUGGGUAAUAUUGGAGUGAAAUAUAGUAUUUUAGUCAAUGGCUUGUGUCCGGCGCGAUGCCCAGAUGGGUCCGGUGAGACUGACUCAGGCCAGGCAGCCCAUGUCAUUCUGGGCAUGGCCAUGUGGUCAGCCUAGCCAAGAUAUUCCCAUGGUUCACUAGUGCCCGUUUACCAAACAGUGCCAAACCAGCACAGGCCAAGCUUAAUACAGAAUGUGUAUAAGUACAAGCAGCUGUAGGGAAGCUGGCAGCGAGGUGAGGUCCUGCCUCAUGUGAAGGGAUCACUGAGUAACUCCAGGAGAGAGAGAGCGAAAGGGGGGGUUAGAAAACACAGAGGAUCUGGGCCUGGUUGUGCUGGCAGGUUAAAUAUCUCCAGGCUAGGAGUGCAGUGAGGGCAUAUGGCCUGUGGUGAAAAAAAAGAGAAGCCCAGCACACAUGUGGCUUUCACAUCACUGCUCUUUAACUUGCUCUCGCUCUCUUGUGACCAUUAUCUGCUUGGUAUUUGAACCUCCUGCCACCUGCAUUGGCAUGUUGAUUUGCUUCCAGGCUCCUGCAUGGAAGGGCAGUGUCUUCAGUUUUUUUCUUUUUUCACAUUGUUUGUUUGAUGCUGUGAGGAGAUAUGAGCUGAAUGGUUGUCCCUUUCCAAACACAAAGGCUGUAAAAAUUCACCCCCUAUGUGAGGGUUGCCACUGUUUGACCACAAUAUCCACUCCCUUCCUGUAGCCUACUAUACUCAAGGAAGAAUAGCACAAGGAAAGAAAUCUACCUCUUGUAAUUACUAUUAUAAUGAUAAAUGUAAAUACCAAUUAACACAGACAACCAUUCUAGAGUAAUCUGGAACACUCUCAUUGUGAAAUGAGAUGUAGGUUAUGAAGUACCAGGCCAAAGUGGAGCAUCUCCUAGAAGUAGCUUAUUAAAUAAUGCCCAACUAAUUGCUUUGUCUUCCUUUUGUCCUGCUGGUGUACAUGUUAUUAAGCGUGUUUCAUAUAUCUUAGAAUAAUGAGGAAGACACGCCUGGCACCUGCAUGCUGUAAUUAAACAUAUAAAUUCUCUCCUUGCAGAAUUAUUUGUGGUCACGAACUGAUUUAUACAGCUUGCUAAAUUGCAAUGUUGAGCUUAUUUUCUUUCCCUGAAAGAGCUGGAGAAAGGAACCUCAUUCAUCAGGCACCUUUGCCAGAAUAAGCUUCUCUAGAAGCUGACUAUAUAUAAG